rnacentral:rRNA from 1 species
AGACCCGAAACCCGGUGAUCUAGCCAUGGGCAGGUUGAAGGUUGGGUAACACUAACUGGAGGACCGAACCGACUAAUGUUGAAAAAUUAGCGGAUGACCUGUGGCUGGGGGUGAAAGGCCAAUCAAACCGGGAGAUAGCUGGUUCUCCCCGAAAGCUAUUUAGGUAGCGCCUCGUGAAUUCAUCUCCGGGGGUAGAGCACUGUUUCGGCUAGGGGGCCAUCCCGGCUUACCAACCCGAUGCAAACUGCGAAUACCGGAGAAUGUUAUCACGGGAGACACACGGCGGGUGCUAACGUCCGUCGUGAAGAGGGAAACAACCCAGACCGCCAGCUAAGGUCCCAAAGUCAUGGUUAAGUGGGAAACGAUGUGGGAAGGCCCAGACAGCCAGGAUGUUGGCUUAGAAGCAGCCAUCAUUUAAAGAAAGCGUAAUAGCUCACUGGUCGAGUCGGCCUGCGCGGAAGAUGUAACGGGGCUAAACCAUGCACCGAAGCUGCGGCAGCGACGCUUAUGCGUUGUUGGGUAGGGGAGCGUUCUGUAAGCCUGUGAAGGUGGCCUGUGAGGGUUGCUGGAGGUAUCAGAAGUGCGAAUGCUGACAUAAGUAACGAUAAAGCGGGUGAAAAGCCCG